UACGGAGGGUGCGAGCGUUAAUCGGAAUUAUUGGGCGUAAAGGGUGCGUAGGUGGUUUGAUAAGUUAUCUGUGAAAACCCUGGGCUUAACCUGGGGGAGGUCAUUCAAUACUACCGUGCUUGAGAGCAGAAGAGGAAGAUGGAAUUCCCGGUGUAGUGGUGAAAUGCGUAGAUAUCGGGAGGAACACCAGUGGCGAAGGCGAUCUUCUGGUCUGUUUCUGACACUCAUACGCGACAGCUAGGGUAGUAAACGGG
rnacentral:rRNA from 1 species